CAGCUGAUAGUGAAGGCCCGCUUCAACUUCAAGCAGAACAACGAGGAUGAGCUGUCGUUCAGUAAAGGCGAGGUGAUCCUGGUGACGCGGCAGGAGGAAGGAGGAUGGUGGGAGGGCACGCUCAACGGCAGGACGGGCUGGUUUCCAAGUAACUACGUUCGGGAAGUCAAAACCUGUGAAAAGCCUUUGUCGCCAAAAGGAACUCAGCUGACCAAAAAUUACUACAAUGUGGUGGUUCAGGACAUCUUGGAGCAUGAGCGGGAGUUCAUUAAAGAAUUACAAACGGUGCUGAGUUGUUACCUGCGACCCCUGCAAGCCA